UACAGAGGGUGCGAGCGUUGUUCGGAAUUAUUGGGCGUAAAGGGCGCGUAGGCGGUGCGGUAAGUCACCUGUGAAAUCUCCUGGCUUAACUGGGAGCCUGCAGGCGAAACUACCGUGCUGGAGUGUGGGAGAGGUGCGUGGAAUUCCUGGUGUAGCGGUGAAAUGCGCAGAUAUCAGGAGGAACACCGGUGGCGAAGGCGGAUCUCUGGGCCUUACCUGACGCUCAGGUGCGAAAGCUAGGGGAGCGAACAGG
rnacentral:rRNA from 1 species